ACAGAGCGGGAGAUCGCCGUCCGCCAAGAGACAAAGCGGCGGCCCGUUUCGUUUGGAUUCCUCCCUGCAGCGAUCGACGCCAAGAAAGAGUCGCCGUCCACCAAGAACAAGCGACGGCCCGUUUCCUUUGGAUUCCUCCUGCAGCGAUGCACGCCACGGUCCUCUUUCUCGCUAAGCCCCCCCUCGAUCCCCAAACUGUUUCGUAUACUACGUGGGGUGGGGCUGCCGUUGAGGCUACAUUCUCUUGCUAAGAUCGAACAAAUGACGGCCCGUUUCUUUGGAUUCCUCCUGCAGCGAUGCACGCCACGGUCAUCUUUCUCGAAUUUGCUUAGGAAGCUUAAUUGGAGGAAGAAUGAAGUGGAAGGCUAUAAUGGAGUCUACAAGUCACACUCCUUCCAGAGAGAUUCUUCAAGAUGUUGGUUGCAAUUUAAGCUGGAUGUUGAAAGCGAUUUGUUGUUCUGCAUCCUGCUCAGCAAGAGAGAGGGAGGCGAGGGGAUAAGGGGAAAGGUGGUGAAGGCGGAGGAGGAGGUGAGGCGUCCAGCUACUCUACAGGAACAGAUUAGGGAUCGUGAUGACAAGGACUUCCCCGAUAGUGACUUUGAUGUGGCAGCACUGGCUAUAAUAAUUUGAGCCAGGCAUUUCGAUGUGAUUUACAGUAACGACGGCAUUGAAGAGGCUCGAGGAUCUCUUGAACGAGGAUACGAUGAGGUAUGAUACCACGAUACGUUUAUUUUGGCGAUUGCUCUUUCAUCCUUCGAGUUCCAGUUAGAUAUUGAGAAGUGACUUCCACCGCAGGUCUACUUGGAGGAUGGAUCCGC